AGACUUCAUGGUUCAUUUUAACGUGACCACACUUGAGGUCAGGGAUCUCAAUGAAGACAUGACCAUAUCGACCAUAGAAAGGGGUCUAAGGAGAUCCAGAUUCACUUACUCUCUAGACAAAUCUCUUCUCCGGACCUAUGCUGAACUUCUAGAGUGCACAUACAAGUACAUUCAUAUGGAUGAUCUGUAUGGACUUUGCUUUGAGUCAAAGAGAAUUCAUAUUCCCCCUCCAUAUUUUUCUUCUACUUUCAAUGCAACUUAUGUGUUUUGCCAAUUGAAAUUUCAGUCACUAGUCACUCA
rnacentral:lncRNA from 1 species